rnacentral:rRNA from 1 species
AUUGCCCUAGUAACGGCGAGUGAAGCGGCAACAGCUCAAAUUUGAAAUCUGGCCCUCGGGUCCGAGUUGUAAUUUGUAGAGGAUGUUUUUGGUGAGGUACCUUCCGAGUUCCCUGGAACGGGACGCCAUAGAGGGUGAGAGCCCCGUCUGGUUGGAUACCGAUCCUCUGUAAAACUCCUUCAACGAGUCGAGUAGUUUGGGAAUGCUGCUCUAAAUGGGAGGUAUAUGUCUUCUAAAGCUAAAUAUUGGCCAGAGACCGAUAGCGCACAAGUAGAGUGAUCGAAAGAUGAAAAGCACUUUGAAAAGAGAGUUAAAAAGUACGUGAAAUUGUUGAAAGGGAAGCGCUUAUGACCAGACUUGGACUUGGUUGAUCAUCCUGGGUUCUCCCUGGUGCACUCUUCCAGUUCAGGCCAGCAUCAGUUCAUCGCGGGGGAUAAAGGCUUCGGGAAUGUGGCUCCCUCGGGAGUGUUAUAGCCCGUUGUGUAAUACCCUGCUUUGGACUGAGGUUCGCGCAUCUGCAAGGAUGCUGGCGUAAUGGUCAUCAGCGACCCGUCUUGAAACACGGACCAAGGAGUCGUCUUCGUAUGCGAGUGUUCGGGUGUUAAACCCCUACGCGUAAUGAAAGUGAACGCAGGUGAGAGCUUCGGCGCAUCAUCGACCGAUCCUGAUGUUCUCGGAUGGAUUUGAGUAAGAGCAUACGGGGCCGGACCCGAAAGAAGGUGAACUAUGCUUGUAUAGGGUGAAGCCAGAGGAAACUCUGGUGGAGGCUCGCAGCGGUUCUGACGUGCAAAUCGAUCGUCAAAUAUGAGCA